GGUUAAGCGACUAAGCGUACACGGUGGAUGCCCUGGCAGUCAGAGGCGAUGAAGGACGUGCUAAUCUGCGAUAAGCGUCGGUAAGGUGAUAUGAACCGUUAUAACCGGCGAUUUCCGAAUGGGGAAACCCAGUGUGAUUCGUCACACUAUCAUUAACUGAAUCCAUAGGUUAAUGAGGCGAACCGGGGGAACUGAAACAUCUAAGUACCCCGAGGAAAAGAAAUCAACCGAGAUUCCCCCAGUAGCGGCGAGCGAACGGGGAGCAGCCCAGAGCCUGAAUCAGUGUGUGUGUUAGUGGAAGCGUCUGGAAAGGCGCGCGAUACAGGGUGACAGCCCCGUACACAAAAAUGCACAUACUGUGAGCUCGAUGAGUAGGGCGGGACACGUGGUAUCCUGUCUGAAUAUGGGGGGACCAUCCUCCAAGGCUAAAUACUCCUGACUGACCGAUAGUGAACCAGUACCGUGAGGGAAAGGCGAAAAGAACCCCGGCGAGGGGAGUGAAAAAGAACCUGAAACCGUGUACGUACAAGCAGUGGGAGCCUCUUUUAUGGGGUGACUGCGUACCUUUUGUAUAAUGGGUCAGCGACUUAUAUUCUGUAGCAAGGUUAACCGAAUAGGGGAGCCGAAGGGAAACCGAGUCUUAACCGGGCGUUAAGUUGCAGGGUAUAGACCCGAAACCCGGUGAUCUAGCCAUGGGCAGGUUGAAGGUUGGGUAACACUAACUGGAGGACCGAACCGACUAAUGUUGAAAAAUUAGCGGAUGACUUGUGGCUGGGGGUGAAAGGCCAAUCAAACCGGGAGAUAGCUGGUUCUCCCCGAAAGCUAUUUAGGUAGCGCCUCGUGAAUUCAUCUCCGGGGGUAGAGCACUGUUUCGGCAAGGGGGUCAUCCCGACUUACCAACCCGAUGCAAACUGCGAAUACCGGAGAAUGUUAUCACGGGAGACACACGGCGGGUGCUAACGUCCGUCGUGAAGAGGGAAACAACCCAGACCGCCAGCUAAGGUCCCAAAGUCAUGGUUAAGUGGGAAACGAUGUGGGAAGGCCCAGACAGCCAGGAUGUUGGCUUAGAAGCAGCCAUCAUUUAAAGAAAGCGUAAUAGCUCACUGGUCGAGUCGGCCUGCGCGGAAGAUGUAACGGGGCUAAACCAUGCACCGAAGCUGCGGCAGCGACACUGUGUGUUGUUGGGUAGGGGAGCGUUCUGUAAGCCUGUGAAAGUGUACUGUGAGGUAUGCUGGAGGUAUCAGAAGUGCGAAUGCUGACAUAAGUAACGAUAAAGCGGGUGAAAAGCCCGCUCGCCGGAAGACCAAGGGUUCCUGUCCAACGUUAAUCGGGGCAGGGUGAGUCGACCCCUAAGGCGAGGCCGAAAGGCGUAGUCGAUGGGAAACAGGUUAAUAUUCCUGUACUUGGUGUUACUGCGAAGGGGGGACGGAGAAGGCUAUGUUGGCCGGGCGACGGUUGUCCCGGUUUAAGCGUGUAGGCUGGUUUUCCAGGCAAAUCCGGAAAAUCAAGGCUGAGGCGUGAUGACGAGGCACUACGGUGCUGAAGCAACAAAUGCCCUGCUUCCAGGAAAAGCCUCUAAGCAUCAGGUAACAUCAAAUCGUACCCCAAACCGACACAGGUGGUCAGGUAGAGAAUACCAAGGCGCUUGAGAGAACUCGGGUGAAGGAACUAGGCAAAAUGGUGCCGUAACUUCGGGAGAAGGCACGCUGAUAUGUAGGUGAAGUCCCUCGCGGAUGGAGCUGAAAUCAGUCGAAGAUACCAGCUGGCUGCAACUGUUUAUUAAAAACACAGCACUGUGCAAACACGAAAGUGGACGUAUACGGUGUGACGCCUGCCCGGUGCCGGAAGGUUAAUUGAUGGGGUCAGCGCAAGCGAAGCUCUUGAUCGAAGCCCCGGUAAACGGCGGCCGUAACUAUAACGGUCCUAAGGUAGCGAAAUUCCUUGUCGGGUAAGUUCCGACCUGCACGAAUGGCGUAAUGAUGGCCAGGCUGUCUCCACCCGAGACUCAGUGAAAUUGAACUCGCUGUGAAGAUGCAGUGUACCCGCGGCAAGACGGAAAGACCCCGUGAACCUUUACUAUAGCUUGACACUGAACAUUGAGCCUUGAUGUGUAGGAUAGGUGGGAGGCUUUGAAGUGUGGACGCCAGUCUGCAUGGAGCCGACCUUGAAAUACCACCCUUUAAUGUUUGAUGUUCUAACGUGGACCCGUGAUCCGGGUUGCGGACAGUGUCUGGUGGGUAGUUUGACUGGGGCGGUCUCCUCCUAAAGAGUAACGGAGGAGCACGAAGGUUGGCUAAUCCUGGUCGGACAUCAGGAGGUUAGUGCAAUGGCAUAAGCCAGCUGACUGCGAGCGUGACGGCGCGAGCAGGUGCGAAAGCAGGUCAUAGUGAUCCGGUGGUUCUGAAUGGAAGGGCCAUCGCUCAACGGAUAAAAGGUACUCCGGGGAUAACAGGCUGAUACCGCCCAAGAGUUCAUAUCGACGGCGGUGUUUGGCACCUCGAUGUCGGCUCAUCACAUCCUGGGGCUGAAGUAGGUCCCAAGGGUAUGGCUGUUCGCCAUUUAAAGUGGUACGCGAGCUGGGUUUAGAACGUCGUGAGACAGUUCGGUCCCUAUCUGCCGUGGGCGCUGGAGAACUGAGGGGGGCUGCUCCUAGUACGAGAGGACCGGAGUGGACGCAUCACUGGUGUUCGGGUUGUCAUGCCAAUGGCACUGCCCGGUAGCUAAAUGCGGAAGAGAUAAGUGCUGAAAGCAUCUAAGCACGAAACUUGCCCCGAGAUGAGUUCUCCCUGACCCUUUAAGGGUCCUGAAGGAACGUUGAAGACGACGACGUUGAUAGGCCGGGUGUGUAAGCGCAGCGAUGCGUUGAGCUAACCGGUACUAAUGAACCGUGAGGCUUAACCUU
rnacentral:rRNA from 1 species